rnacentral:rRNA from 1 species
CACGUAGGGUGCGAGCGUUGUCCGGAAUUAUUGGGCGUAAAGGGCUCGUAGGCGGUUUGUCGCGUCGGGAGUGAAAACUCAGGGCUUAACCCUGAGCCUGCUUCCGAUACGGGCAGACUAGAGGUAUGCAGGGGAGAACGGAAUUCCUGGUGUAGCGGUGAAAUGCGCAGAUAUCAGGAGGAACACCGGUGGCGAAGGCGGCUACCUGGACAGAAACUGACGCUGAGGCGCGAAAGCUAGGGGAGCAAACAGG